AUUUGUUAUGUUACCAUUUUGAACUUAGUAUAAAGUGCCUGACACAUAGUAGGCACUGAGUAAAUAUUAUAUAGUUGGGAAAUUGAAUAAAUACACCCCAGCACUCCUCAACUACGAAGACUUAUGUUUGCAAAAUUAGGCUAACGUGAGCUUUUCUGGAGCCAUGGGGGAAGGGUUGAGGAUGGAAUAGACUAGAGAAUUUGUAACUGGGGAGGUAUGAGGGCAGGUCAGCAUCAGGAAAUUACAUCACUUGACAUUUUCUUACUCCCUUUUGUGUCUGUACCUUCAUCUUAUAUUAUCCAAUAUUACAAGCCCCUUGAAUGUAGGCAUAGAGCCUUUUAUUUCUAAAACUACAGUGAGCACCUAGCCCACGACCUGGCAUAUAGUAGGUGCUUAACAAAGCUGCACUGAAUGAAUAGAUGCCACGCAUUCUAGAUUUAAUACAGACCUUACCAUCUAAGCUGAGGUUCAUUCAGGAGGGACUGGGAAAGGAAUGUGAAGGCUCAUGAUUGUUAUUUAUUUAUUUAUGAGAUGGAGUUUCACUCUGUUGCCCAGGCUGGAGUGCAGUGGCACGAUCUUGGCUCACUGCAACCUCUGCCUCCCGAAUUCAAGCAAUUCUCCUGCCUCAGCCUCCGGAGUAGCUAGGAUUAUCGGCAUGUACCACCAUGCCCGGCUAAUUUUUGUAUUUUUAGUAGAGAUGGGGUUUCACCAUGUUGGCCAGGCUGGUCUCGAACUCCUGACCUCAGGUGAUUAGCCUGCGUUGGCCUCCCAAAGUGCUGGGAUUACAGGCGUGAGCCACUGCGGCCGAUCGUUAUUUAUUUAUUCAUUUAUUUGAGACAGGGUCUGGCUCUGUUGCCCAGGCUGGAGUGCAGUGGUGUGUUCAUAUCUCUCUGUACCUUCAAACGCCCGGUCUCAAAUGAUCCUCCCACCUCAGCCUCCCGAGUUGCUGGGAGUACAAGCGUGCACCACCGUGCCUGGCUAAUUUUUAAUUUUUUUUUUUUUUUUUUUUUGUAGAGACAGGGUCUUAGUAUGUUGCCCAGGCUGGUCUCAAAUUCCUGACCUGACCUCAAGUGAUCCUCCUGCCUUAGCCUCCCAAAGUGUUGGGAUUACAGGUGUGAGCCACCGUGCCCAGCCAAGAUGGUUAUUUAUUAGGAAAACAUGGUACAUUGAAGUUUUUCACAAAACAUACGACAGAAAGAGCCUGGAUAGUUUUUCUUUUUAAGCUAACAUUUAUCAAGAACAUAUUUUUUUUUUUGCCAGCCCUGUGAUAAACGCAUUAUAUGCAUUAUCUAGUUAAUUUGUAGAUGCUGCUAAAUUUGCAGAUGAGGAAACUGGGGCUUGGAGACAUUCACUUAUCAGUCUAAGGCCAGAGAAUAGUGGCAAAAUUAGCAUUCAAACUUGGGCCUGAUUUUAAAAUUCAUGGGCUUAGCAAGUUUGCUACAAGGACUCUUGCGCUAACUCUGGGUUCAUAAAUGAGUCAUCCAACACCUUUUGCCUUCAUGCCCUCACCCAUUGGAUAGAUGAAUCCAUUCCUACUCACAUCUCAAGGCUAAAUGAAAGAACGCGUGUUUGUGAACAGGCAUCAGAAUACAUAUAACUGGAAGGGGUGCCAUAAUUCAUUUAUUGUGUUCUGGCUCCCCACCAGCCUAACAGGGCCUGUUAUUAUGUGACCUCCCAUUGCUUAAGCCUCUGAUAAGACAGUAAGUCUGUAUACAAGGUGACCAUGAACUGCUACCUGCUUUCCAAUUGCUGUUGGAAGAGCUCCUUAUACCUUACGAGGCUAAGAAGAUAGAAGAGGUAUUUCGCUCUGGUUUUGAGCAAUUUGUUCUACUCUGUGAACUUCUGUGUCUGCUUAUCCAGUUUCAUGAAAAUUAGAUUAACGAGUACUAAUUGGUGCUGACUCCGCUAGCUUAAAAUGGAUGGUGUCAAAUGGAAGAGGAGCCCACCAGUGUGAUGUUUGGAUCCCAAAGCUGCUGGGAAUUAAGUUUCUGCAUGGAUGUCGAUAUCAUAGGUUACUUGUGGCAGCUUGCUCCAAGCUACUUUUAUGGAACACAGUGUCACCCCCACAGAUCUUUGAAAGGAGGAAGGAUGCUUUUUCCAAAGAGGAUUUGCUUCAGAUGAUUUGGUCAAAAUGCUCAUUCAUUCGAGGAAUCUUUUUUGAGCACCUAUUAGAUGCCAGGCUCUGUUUUGGACUCAGGGGUACCAGUGGUGAAUAAAACAGGCAAAGUUCCAUCCACAUUAAGCAUACAUUCUACCUAAGGUUGGUAGACAAUAAUGAAGUAAAUAUAUAAUGUCAAGCAGCAUUUCCAUCUGAUACUUGUAUAUUGAUUAAAUAUGAGAUAAACA
rnacentral:lncRNA from 10 species